rnacentral:rRNA from 1 species
UACAGAGGUCCCAAGGCGUUGUUCGGAUUCACUGGGCGUAAAGGGUGCGUAGGUGGUGAGGUAAGUCGGAUGUGAAAUCUCGGAGCUUAACUCCGAAAUGGCAUUGGAAACUACCCCGCUAGAGGAUCGGAGGGGAGGCUGGAAUUCUCGGUGUAGCAGUGAAAUGCGUAGAUAUUGGGAGGAACACCAGUGGCGAAGGCAGCCUGCUGGGCUGUGCUGACGCUGAGGCGCGACAGACG